rnacentral:lncRNA from 1 species
GAGGAAGUGGGAGAUGGGAUGUUGGAAGCAAGAAGCCGCAGUGAUGAGAGGAAGGGGCUGCGAGCCACAGAACGCAGGCGGCCCCUAGAGCUGGAAAGGGCAGGACAUGGAUGCUCCCGGGAGCCUCCGGAAGGAACCGGCCCCACCGACCUGUUGACUUUAGCCCACAAGAGCUUGCUGUGGACUUCUGACCUCAAGAACUGUUACUGCCCCGGGAACCGAAAAAGACUCAUGGUGCUUUCUCAGCGGCCCACACGUGAUCCCGAAGUGGCCUCCCGUCUACACGUCGGCCCCGAGGAAACUGCAAGACGGUCUCUCGGGGCUGCAGAGGGCAGCUGGCCGCUCUCCUGCUGCCGUUCUGAUCUGUAAAGGCCAGUCGGGCCCCAGCGAAGUGCUGGAAAAGGCGAGGACCUUCUAGGCACAGCUCACCUCCUGAUCCUGUCUUCUCCUACCCGUGCUGGAGGGAGAGAGAGAAGAGAGGUGGCGCCCACUCACUAGCCUCAUAUUCU